rnacentral:rRNA from 1 species
UAGGGAAUCUUCCGCAAUGGACGCAAGUCUGACGGAGCAACGCCGCGUGAGUGAAGAAGGAUUUCGGUUCGUAAAACUCUGUUGUUAGAGAAGAACAGCGCAUAGAGUAACUGUUAUGCGUGUGACGGUAUCUAACCAGAAAGCCACGGCUAACUACGUGUCAGCAGCCGCGGUAAUACGUAGGUGGCAAGCGUUGUCCGGAUUUAUUGGGCGUAAAGCGAGCGCAGGCGGUCAAUUAAGUCUGAUGUGAAAGCCCCCGGCUCAACCGGGGAGGGUCAUUGGAAACUGGUUGACUUGAGUGCAGAAGAGGAGAGUGGAAUUCCAUGUGUAGCGGUGAAAUGCGUAGAUAUAUGGAGGAACACCGGUGGCGAAAGCGGCUCUCUGGUCUGUAACUGACGCUGAGGCUCGAAAGCGUGGGGAGCGAACAGG